GCGGGAAAGGGUCCGGGACGGCCUGGCAAGAAGGCGUUCCGCACGGCCGGGCCGGGGAGCACGGUACCUGGGAGCGAGCGCACGGCUGCCUUCCCCAGCUCUCAGGGCCUGGGGCGGCGCCUCGUGUACCCCCUGAAAACGAGGCAGGGAGGCGUGGCUUCCAGCCCAGGGUGGGGUAGGAUGAGUGAACCGGGAGGUGGGGACGGCUCGGGGGCCAGCCCCGGGCGCAGCAGCCGCGGAGGAGGCCGCAGAGCCGCUCCCUCAUUCCAGGGCCCUUGCGGCCACCUCGCUACUCAUCCCUUCCCACUCCCGCUGCCAGCUCUUCUCGGAGGCACAUCGACUCACUGCGGCCCCAUCAGCCGGCUCCCCGCCGUCCGACGUGAUUCUCCCAGGGCACACCUGGGGCACACGAAGAACUGCCUGUCCUGUCCCCUUGGAGCUAGAUGUGGCUUCUUGUCUGACUCAAGCCAAAGGAAUGCACGCAGAGGCGAAACCCACUCAGCUGAUUCCCAUGGCUCCUGGGCUAUUCUGCCCCCUGGGUGGAAAGAGCCGAUAAAGGGAGAUGGAAACCCACUCCUCCUUAAAAUUCCUCAGCCUCUGGAAGAUUCUGGGGUGUCUGGAAGCAGCACAAGCUCCUGGGAAAAUAAUGGGCCAAGUCCCAUUACAGGAUGCGUCCCAGGAUGGGAAGAGAGAAUUUGCCUCCAUGGGAGGUGGGAUCAUCUCAACACAAGCCUGCCCUUUCUUGGUGGAACCAUGCCAAGAUCAGGGUUGCAUUUCCUGUCCAAACCCUUAGCCCAGGAGAAUGAAACACUUCCAGAAGGACAUGGAAUCAUUGCUCAAAACAGUAAGCUCUUUGCUUAAGAAAAGGGACUUAUGGCUCUUCUGCGCAUGUAAUCUUUGUGAAACCCUUGGUCACUGCAGCAGUAUUUGUUGCUAACACCAGCCUUGUCCAGAAGUCCCAGCCAGAUCUGCACACACCCAGCCCCUGUGUGCCUCCUUCCCAGUGUCCCAUGCCUUCUCCUGUCCUCUCCACGUGUGCACCCUCUCAGAGCUUCUCUAAGCCCACCUUCUCCAUCCAACUUCCAGCCACUUGGCUCUCUCCUGGCCAUUAAAGAUUAUUUCAAGCUGGUAACAUAAUCCCAAGCACUUAAUGGCAUAAUUAAUAGUCCCACAUGGAUCAUUUCAUUAUCCAACUUCAUAAUAAAUUGCAGAG